GGAAGUGCUGUAGCUCAGUGGUAGGGCAUCUGCUUUGGAUGCAGAAGGUCCCGAGUUCAAGUUCCUGGUAUCUCCA